rnacentral:rRNA from 1 species
UACGUAGGGGGCAAGCGUUGUCCGGAUUUAUUGGGCGUAAAGAGCGUGUAGGCGGCCAGGUAGGUCUGCUGUGAAAACUCGAGGCUUAACCUCGAGCUGUCGGCGGAAACCAUCUGGCUAGAGUCCGGAAGAGGAGAAUGGAAUUCCCGGUGUAGUGGUGAAAUGCUUAGAUAUCGGGUGGAACACCAGUGGCGAAGGCGGUGCGCUGGGCCGAAACUGACGCUGAUGAGCGAAAGCGUGGGUAGCAAACAGG